AUGGUUGUCACUCGUGGCACAGUGCUUAGAGCAACUCCUUUAGUCCGCCCGCGUCUAUUUGGCUCGGCGCGGACAAAAGUGGUAGUCCAACACGUCGAUUCAAUGUCCGUUUUUCGUCCGCGGGUGACCCAUUCCAGGCCCAAUUUUGAGCUGGAUUUGCGUCGGCGCGGACACGAGACGGACACGUGCGCGCCUACUCCUCUCCCCGGGCCCGCCGGUCGGUGGCAGCCACCAACAUUCCCCCCAAUUUCCCUCAAAAACGCUCCCGCCCGCGCGCGCCCCCGCCCCUCAACCAGCCAUGGAGGACGCCAUCGACCUCGACCUCGACGCCGCUGCCGGCCUCGCCUCCCUCGCCUCGUCCGGCGCCGUCGCCCCCUCGGGAAAGGCAAGCCUCGUGCCCCGCGCAAGACCGCCGCCGCGACCAAGCCGAAGAAGGCCCUGACGCCCGAACAGCGGGCAAGGGAGUCGGCCAAAAGGAAGGGCCGGAGGCACGCCGCAGACGCGAGGGAUGAGGCCGCCGCGCAGGCCGCCGCCGUCGCCGCCGCGCAACAGGAGUUCACCAACGCCCGCGUCGCCGCGGCAACGAGGGAGGCGCUCUACAUGCUCGGUGUAAACCCUAGCCAGCACAGCGUCCUCCAAGCCGCCGUCGCCGCGGCCAGUACCGGCUCGUCGGCGUUUCCUCGGAUGGUGCUGCCCGACUCACCCCGCGCGUCGGCUUGCAACCCGGUCCCCGGCUUCCACGUCUACCCGCAGGCCUGCCGCCUCUCCGGGGAGUGCUCACGCAACGUGAGCGUGGUCGCGCCUUCCACGCCCGCGCACGCGCCCAUCGACCUCAACGCCACCCCGGUGGUCGGUGGCUCGUCGUCCGGCGGCACGAGGAAACGCACGCGACAGACGCCGGCCGGCGGGCUCCCGGACGCCCGUAACCUGUUCGAGGAAAUGUCGUCCGCCGUCGACGAGGACUACAUGCAAAACCUCAUCUUCGAGGGUGGUGCGCCGGGCGCUGGCUAUGAUCCCGACGAGACAUAA
rnacentral:rRNA from 1 species